rnacentral:rRNA from 1 species
UGAGAGGAGCUGUCCUUAGUACGAGAGGACCGGGAUGGACGUACCGCUGGUGUACCAGUUGUUCCGCCAGGAGCACCGCUGGGUAGCUAUGUACGGAAGGGAUAAGCGCUGAAAGCAUCUAAGCGUGAAGCCCCCCUCAAGAUGAGAUUUCCCAGUAUGUAAGACCCCUUGAAGACGACGAGGUAGAUAGGUUGGGGGUGGAAGUGCAGUAAUGCAUGGAGCUGACCAAUACUAAUCGGUCGAGGGCUUAUCCUA